rnacentral:rRNA from 1 species
UGGGGAAUAUUGCACAAUGGGGGAAACCCUGAUGCAGCGACGCCGCGUGAACGAAGAAGGUAUUCGUAUCGUAAAGUUCUGUCCUAUGGGAAGAUAAUGACAGUACCAUAGAAGAAAGCUCCGGCUAAAUACGUGCCAGCAGCCGCGGUAAUACGUAUGGAGCGAGCGUUGACCGGAAUUAUUGGGCGUAAAGGGUACGCAGGCGGUUUAAUAAGUCGAAUGUUAAAGAUCGGGGCUCAACCCCGUAAAGCAUUGGAAACUGAUAAACUUGAGUAGUGGAGAGGAAAGUGGAAUUCCUAGUGUAGUGGUGAAAUACGUAGAUAUUAGGAGGAAUACCAGUAGCGAAGGCGACUUUCUGGACACAAACUGACGCUGAGGUACGAAAGCGUGGGGAGCAAACAGG